rnacentral:rRNA from 1 species
ACAUACGCGUAGAGUUUGAUCAUGGCUCAGGAUGAACGCUGGCGGCGUGCUUAACACAUGCAAGUCGAACGAUGACCCCCAGCUUGCUGGGGUGAUUAGUGGCGAACGGGUGAGUAACACGUGAGUAACCUGCCCUUAACUCUGGGAUAAGCCUGGGAAACCGGGUCUAAUACCGGAUAUUUACCCCCGACCGCAUGGUGUGGGGGUGGAAAGCCUUGUGCGGUUUUGGAUGGACUCGCGGCCUAUCAGCUUGUUGGUGAGGUAAUGGCUCACCAAGGCGACGACGGGUAGCCGGCCUGAGAGGGUGACCGGCCACACUGGGACUGAGACACGGCCCAGACUCCUACGGGAGGCAGCAGUGGGGAAUAUUGCACAAUGGGCGAAAGCCUGAUGCAGCGACGCCGCGUGAGGGAUGACGGCCUUCGGGUUGUAAACCUCUUUCAGUAGGGAAGAAGCGAAAGUGACGGUACCUGCAGAAGAAGCGCCGGCUAACUACGUGCCAGCAGCGCGGUAAU